CUCAGUAUCACUGUCCACUUCCUGUUGCCUUCUGAUCAAGAUGUAGCCAGCACCAUGUCUGCCUGUGCGUGCAUGCAGCCAUGUUCCCCGCCACGAUGAUAACGGACUGAACCUCUGGAAUGGAAAAAGCACACAUCAGAGCUAAUGUGUAAUGCAAGCACCGUGGGAGAAUGUCUGGGUUUAAGACCGCAGUGGAACAGCGGAUGGAGAAUCUGGGCCUCCAAUUCCAGGAUGUAAUCCAAGGGACUAAAACCUCUUAUUGAGAGUCCUCUUUCACAGUGGAGACCGGACAGUCCUGGACUGUGUGAGAGCAGAGAGAACCAGCUGAGUGCUAAACGACCGACCCAGCACCCACACAUUUAUUCUUCCUCCGUUCUUGACUGUGGAUGCGCGGCUUCACAUUCCUGCCCAGAGUUCGCCAUAAAAAUGGACUCUCCUGAAACUGGACAUUGCCAUCUCCUACAGUGGACAGUCCCAGCAGAGGAUGUAAGGAGUUGGUGAUGGAGGGAGCCAGGCCAUGGUGGUCGGGAGAAUCUCAUGCAG